GCGGAAAAUUUAACGGGGCUAAGAUACAAACCGAAGCUUAGGCUGCAUCGUAAGAUGCGGGGUAGGGGAGCGUUGUGUAAGCGGAGAAACAGUAGCGUAAGCGGCUGUGGAGUUUACAGAAGUGAGAAUGCCGGAAUGAGUAGCGCGAAUGUGGUGAGAAUCCACAUGGCCGGAAACCUCAGGUUUUUGGAGGAAGGUUCGUCCGCUCCAAGUUAGGCGGGAGCUAAGGUCAGGCCGAAAGGCGUAGCCGAUGCACAGACGGUAGAGAUUCCGUCCCCACCGAAAGAUUUAAGCACAGGGACACUUUUAGAAGGUCGGAGCCAGGUGUUGGUUCUGGUAGUGAUCGAGGGAAAUUUAGUACCGAAGUCCGGCUGGAUAAGAGGCGAGAAAAGCUGUGUGUAUAUCUWAGGUGCCCGUACCGCAAACCGACACAGGUAGGUAGGAAGAAGAUUCUAAGGCCAACGGGAGAAGGGUUGUUAAGGAACUCGGCAAGUUGACCCCGUAACUUCGGAAUAAGGGGUGCUCACGAGAGUGAGCCGCAGAGAAUAGGCCCAGGCAACUGUUUACCAAAAACACAGGUUUGUGCUAAAUCGAAAGAUGACGUAUACGAGCUGACGCCUGCCCGGUGCUGGAAGGUUAAAAGGAGAUGUGCAAGCAUUGAAUUGAAGCCCCAGUGAACGGCGGCCGUAACUAUAACGGUCCUAAGGUAGCGAAAUUCCUUGUCAGGUAAGUUCUGACCCGCAUGAAAGGCGUAAUGAUCUGGGCACUGUCUCAACAGCCCGCCCGGCGAAAUUGUAGUACCGGUGAAGAUGCCGGUUACCCGCGACAAGACGGAAAGACCCCAUGGAGCUUUACUGUAGCCUGAUAUUGGGUUUCGGUGUUGCAUGCACAGGAUAGAUGGGACGCUAGGAAAGAAGCGCUUUGGCGUUUCUGGAGCGGACGUUGGGAUACCAUCCUUGCGACAUUGGAAUUCUAACCUGCGCCUCUGAAUCGAGGCGGGGGACAUUGUCAGGUGGGCAGUUUGACUGGGGCGGUCGCCUCCUAAAAAGUAGCGGAGGCGUUCAAAGGUUCGCUCAGCUUGGACGGAAACCAAGCUAUAGAGUGCAAACGCAAAAGCGAGCCUGACUGCGAGACUGACGGGUCGAGCAGAGACGAAAGUCGGAGUUAGUGAUCCGGUGGUAUGUGAGUGGAAAUGCCAUCGCUCAACGGAUAAAAGUUACCCUGGGGAUAACAGGCUGAUCUCCC
rnacentral:rRNA from 1 species